rnacentral:rRNA from 1 species
UACGUAGGGUGCAAGCGUUAAUCGGAAUUACUGGGCGUAAAGCGUGCGCAGGCGGUUAUGCAAGACAGAUGUGAAAUCCCCGGGCUCAACCUGGGAACUGCAUUUGUGACUGCAUGGCUAGAGUACGGUAGAGGGGGAUGGAAUUCCGCGUGUAGCAGUGAAAUGGGUAGAUAUGCGGAGGAACACCGAUGGCGAAGGCAAUCCCCUGGACCUGUACUGACGCUCAUGCACGAAAGCGUGGGGAGCAAACAGG